AUGGCCCACGGUGAUGACUUACACGCCAUCAAAUACCUCCCACUAAAGCUCAAAGGACCAGCACGACAUUGGCUUAACAGCUUGCCAGCGGACUCCAUUAGCUGUUGGGAAGAUCUAGAAGCCGCAUUCCUCGACAACUUUCAGGGCACAUAUGUGCGACCACCAGACGCUGAUGACUUGAGCCACAUAAUUCAGCAGACAGAAGAGUCGGCCAGGCAAUUUUGGACUUGGUUCCUUACAAAGAAAAAUCAAAUCGUCGACUGUCCGGAUGCGGAGGCCUUAGUGGCUUGCAAACACAACACCCGAGACGAGUGGCUAGCCCGACACCUUGGUUAG
rnacentral:rRNA from 1 species